GAUGAACGCUGGCGGCGUGCCUAAUACAUGCAAGUCGAGCGAACAGACGAGGAGCUUGCUCCUCUGACGUUAGCGGCGGACGGGUGAGUAACACGUGGAUAACCUACCUAUAAGACUGGGAUAACUUCGGGAAACCGGAGCUAAUACCGGAUAAUAUAUUGAACCGCAUGGUUCAAUAGUGAAAGACGGUUUUGCUGUCACUUAUAGAUGGAUCCGCGCCGCAUUAGCUAGUUGGUAAGGUAACGGCUUCCCAAGGCAACGAUGCGUAGCCGACCUGAAAGGGUGAUCGGCCACACUGGAACUGAGACACGGUCCAGACUCCUACGGGAGGCAGCAGUAGGGAAUCUUCCGCAAUGGGCGAAAGCUUGACGGAGCAACGCCGCGUGAGUGAUGAAGGUCUUCGGAUCGUAAAACUCUGUUAUUAGGGAAGAACAAAUGUGUAAGUAACUAUGCACGUCUUGACGGUACCUAAUCAGAAAGCCACGGCUAACUACGUG
rnacentral:rRNA from 1 species